CAUUUUCUUUGAAUGCUUAGGUUAGGAACAUUUUCUCUGAACACUUAGGCUAACCUGUGGAGAUAAGGAGAUCAAGGAUUUGGUGGAACACAUUUUGUAGAACCAUCUUAAAAAUACAGUUGAUAAAAUUUCUAAAUGAAGACCAAGAUAAAGGGAACAAGAUCAGAAAACAUCAUCCUCACAGAAAUUAUUAAGAAUCCACAUACCAUGUAUGAAAUGAGCUAAUCCUGGAAGUCAUGGCUGUGCAGGAUGAUUUUGAGGGAAACUCUCCAUUAAAUCCAGCUCUAAGAACUCAAUCCCGGGCACUAGCUCUCCUGGCUGACCUCUGUUCUGGAUCUGUCCUGUCUCCUACCAGAGAGCAUUCGAUAUUAUGGAAGGACAUUUAUGACAGCGGCAACAUGGAAAGUCACGUGGCCAUAUUCCAGAUACCUCUGAAGUCUUAAUCCAAAAGAGUGAUAAUGUGGGGUAUCAGGUACAAUGGCAGGCAGAAGUUUAAAAGUAGAAUGCCUAACAGAACAUCUCAACUAAGAAUAUGAAAGCAACUGCUUACUCUACCUACUUAAAAGGCAGCUACAUUCCUGCAUGUCUGGAAACAAAAGAUACAAACAUAUCUUCAUUGUCAAAAGACAAGGUGUUAAGACUUCUUUCUCAGCAGGGGAUAAAAUGCAAUAAAACA